rnacentral:rRNA from 1 species
GAGUCUAGCAUGUGCGCGAGUCAUUGGGACUCUGAUAAACCUAAAGGCGCAAUGAAAGUGAAGGUCCGCCUUGCGCGGACCGAGGGAGGAUGGGUCCGUUUUCGAACGGUCCCCGCACUCCCGGGGCGUCUCGUUCUCAUCGCGAGAUGAGGCGCACCCAGAGCGUACACGCUGGGACCCGAAAGAUGGUGAACUAUGCCUGGUCAGGACGAAGUCAGGGGAAACCCUGAUGGAGGUCCGUAGCGAUUCUGACGUGCAAAUCGAUCGUCGGAACUGGGUAUAGGGGCGAAAGACUAAUCGAAC